GUGAACGAACCCGUUAUAGUUGCUUCGGCGGGUAGUGCGCUGCAACUGCCCGCCGAUAGCAUGCAAUCUCUAGAUUACAGUGGAUCUCUGAGUUACUUAUUUAAUAAGUUAAAACUUUCAACAACGGAUCUCUUGGUUCUGGCAUCGAUGAAGAACGCAGCGAAAUGCGAUAAGUAAUGUGAAUUGCAGAAUUCAGUGAAUCAUCGAAUCUUUGAACGCACAUUGCGCCCGCCAGUAUUCUGGCGGGCAUGCCUGUUCGAGCGUCAUUUCAACCAUCAAGCCCCCGGCUUGUGUUGGGGACCUGCGGCUGCCGCAGGCCCUGAAAUCCAGUGGCGGGCUCGCCGUAGCACCGAGCGUAGUAGCACACUUCUCGCUCCGGUAGCAGCGGCGGGCGCCUGCCGUAAAACCCCCCUUUAAAAUCUCAAGGUUGACCUCGGAUCAGGUAGGAAUACCCGCUGAACUUAAGCAUAUCAAUAAGCGGAGGA
rnacentral:rRNA from 1 species